UGUGAAUGUCGGGGACGGCGACCAAGUGCUGGCGGAAGGCACAACCCUGGGCCUGUGUGAACCGGUCACGUGGGCGGGCCCGGCUGGCAAUACAGAACCUCCGUCGCAGAAUAGAGCUGUGCAAGCCACUGCAGGGCAUGGUCGCCGAUGCUAUCCUGAACCUGACGACAAUGGAAGCCAGGGAGUUGAAGGCAUUGGUCCUCGACUUUCAGGAUGUCUUUGUGACAGAAAACAAUGGUUAUGGGCGAACGGACUGAGUGCUCCACCGCAUCAGCACAGGCGUUGACAAUCAAGGUCGUAUACCGUCCCACGUUACAAUAUAUUGUUUGUUUACAUGUAAAGAGUAUAGAAGGGCCCUUGGUGCAUCUAAAAGAUUUAUUAAAAUGGAUAUUUGAUUUGUCAACUUCUUUUAUUGCAUACACUGUAACAUCCUGGAUCUGAUUUAGCCAUGUGUGAAUGAAAAGAGGGAGAUGAUUAAGAAUUAGCUUCACCUGGUGUUCAUGAAACCAAGGCCAGGUGGUAUCACACUUGAAAAGUGGAGGAUAAGGAGUACCGACAUGUUCUUUGACACCAGACUCAUGCAAUAUACAUGUUACAGAAGUCAGCUUAAAGAUUCUGCAGGAUUUGUGAUCAGUCAUUACAUUUGCUGAUAUCCCAACAGAGAUCGGACUGGCUACAGACACUGAGGAUUCAUUUUACCAGAUUUUCCCACUUUGGGUGACAGGAGCUUGACAUGAUACGGCUAAAAUCAGCAUGGUGGCAGCACUCUGUCAUAAUGAAGGGAAACUUGAAUUCGCAAGGAUGGAAAGAUUAGCGCUUCACAAUUGAUAUACGAUCUGUGGUUUGGUAAUCCAUCUUCUAUUGUCAGUCAUUGACCGGUGUUUGCUGUAAUGUGCUAAGAAGUUUUAGAUGAGAGCAGCUGCAUAAAUGUGCAUAAGAUGGAGGUCAGUGGUCACCAGGGUGUACCCCUGGAUAGGAGGUUGGGUGAGUCAAAGAACCAAUCUGCACACAAGGCUAGAAGAGGUCAUUUGCUUCUGCCAGGUAUCAAACCCUGAUUGUGAGUCCAUAUUCAGACACUGUACUGACUGACCAAUGCUGUCUCUCUAACAAAUGCUUUCGUGCUGUGUGAUAACUCUGAUUUUAUAUAUUUUGUAGACUGAUAUCACAUAUUGUGAAUUUGGCCAUAAGAAACACUUUGUUAUUAA